AAUAUUCCCUAACAUUUUGGACUUGCUUAGAUUAUUGUGGCACAGAUGGAGAGGGACUCUCAAACUGAGCAUUAGAGUUUCACAAGUUGAGCUGAAAAGAGUACACACAGUCCAGUGAUCCCACAACUCUUCUCUUCACCACCUUGAAGAAGGACACAGAUUUUUGGAAAAGUAUCAGAUCAGCACUGAAGAGAUAAAUACCCAAAGGUGAUGCCAUAACUCUGAAAUGUCCCGUGCACAAAGCACAUUCUCUGCUGAGGCCAUACCAACUGGGAUUCCUGAUGAGAGAGGAAAUCUGAUCUCUAUCAUAGCACAGGUCAAUCUGCUUAAUGGGGAAGGAAAUCUCCUUCAUCUAAAGGCAGAAGGGACAACAGGACAUACUGUUCCCUGCUAUAACUCCACUGAAAUCAGUAGAAUUCUACUAGGGAGGAAUUGGUGUUGUGAGAUCUUUUUUGUGUUUUAUACCUUGUCAUAGCUUUGUAACAAAGAGUAACGUGAGUUUUGGAAAAGCAAAGUAUUGACAAGGAAUUCAUGAAUACCUGUCUCUACUCAAAGCUGCAAAAGCUAUUGCAUCAUCUUAAAGAAAUAUUAUUCUCUCCACAUUAUUGUGCACUUGCAUGUUUUCAGAACUAUAAAUAAACUACUUUG